rnacentral:lncRNA from 1 species
AUCCCUUUCGAACUGGCCCUUGAGCGCCUGCAUGUUGACUUCCAGCCGCAGUUUGGCGUCCUCCGUGGCUUGCAGCUCGUCCUCCAGCUCUUCCAGCUGCGUCUUCCAUUUCGGCUUUGAGCAUUUUGUUGGUCCGCUCGAGUUCCUCUUUGGCUUCCAAGGCCUCUUCAAGGGCCCGAGCCAGGGACAGGGCCUUGGUUUCCUUCUCCCUGGCUUCUGCCUCAGCUCUGUCCCUCUCAUCCGCGUAUUUGGAAGAGAUGUUUUUCUCCUCGGCUAACAACUACAACACAAGACCCAGAGGUGACUUCUAGGCAUAUCCGGGGUUGGACACGAGUUGCCGCUGGUUGUCCAAAUCAACAACCAGGUCGUCCAGCUCCUGCUGAAGCCUGUUCUUGGUCUUUUCCAGUUUAUCAUAAGCGGCCG